rnacentral:lncRNA from 1 species
ACAAUCAUAUGUGAAAAUUCAUAUUCAAAUAAAAAAAUAAUUACAAAAGUAUAGUUCACUUAGGAUGUGGUUCGUUGUUCAAAGCUUUUUUUGUAGAGCAACAUAGCAAAAGUGAAGUGGUGAUUCCAAACUAUAACCUGGUUGAAAAAUUCUUUGUCAGAAGCUCUUCCAUGGUUGUGGUAAGAGUCGAACCGAGAAAGUUGGGGGUGUACCUGUAAAAGACACUCCGACGCUCAAGUCAGUAAGUAUUUAAGAGGUAUAAUAAUUCUAUGAAUAUAUAAUGUUAAAAAAAUAAGCAUAGAAAACAANUACACGUGGUGGCAAGCCACGGCACUUAAUCCAGGGAACCUCGUAUCUCAGAUAUUUCAAAUUCAUAAGCCAUAUAAACAAUUCAUUCAUCAUUUAUCAAUCCAUAUCCCAUUUCCAAAUUCAUUCAAAAAUCAUAUUUCAAAUCAAUCCUCAUCAUCCUUCUUUCCAUUAAUCAACAAUCUCAAUCCAAAACAUAAUUCUUUCUUUUCUAAAUAAAUCAAUCUUAAAUAAAUAACGUUUAAGAAUUAAAUCUUUUUAAACAAUUACUUCAAACAAAACUUCCAAUUUUAUAAAAUUUCGGCAGCAUCUCCUCUAAAACUCGGAUUCUGCCACCCUUUUCGGGUCCCAACCAAACCAAACCAAACACCUGUUAGUCAGUCAAAUCACUCCCAACACAAUUUUCACCACAACCACAUUCAACACAAGGUAAUAGCAAAAUCCAGAAUCCAAUCAACCAGUCCUAUAAAUCGCAAUCUAAAUUAAUCUCAUUCAACAGUAUUAAUCAAUAAUUAAGAACUCUCGGUUUUCUCAAACCGUUUCAAACCAAACCGUUCCUCAAACCCUGUUCGAACCAUUUCCAAAAUAGUAAAUUAUUGUCAAUAAACAAAUCGUUUUCAAAUAUAAGGCCCUUUCCAAAUUUGUUUUAAAAUCAAAUUCCGAUAUCAAAUCAGGUUCAAUAUCAAAUCAAAUUUCAAUACUAAACCUUUCCUAAAAUCGAAUCAUUUCUAAAGUUAAACUAAAUGCCAUUACUAAAUAUCUUCCAAUAACUCUCGAAAAACUACUUUAACCACAUCCGUCAACUAAUCAGAAUAUUCAACUUUCUGAAUCGAUCAAUCAAUCAAUACAACUAAUAACCUCAUUCAUCCAAAACAACUCAAUUCAAUUCAUAAGACUUACGAAAUUACCAAAAAUGUAUUUUAUGCAUUAAUAUCGAUUUAUAACAACUCUGGAAAGUAAACAAGUUUAAGAAAAGCGCCCCUACCUCGACUAGCUGAAUUCAAGAAUCAAAGGCGACAAACCCACUUAUUCCAAAUUAACAGCAACAACAGCAAUGGCAUUAGAAUCAGCAGUAUUAACAGCAGCAACAUCAAAUUUGAUGGAAUCAAACGCGGAAACAACUCUAAAAAAAUUCAAGGCAAUACCAAAAAUAAAAUGGAAUUAAAAUCGUAACAAACAGAUAAACGAGACCAAAGCAGUUCAGAGUAUAAAAGUGAAACAGAGUCAGGAGACAGGCUAGACCUAGGGCAGUGACACUGAACUUGAAUUGGGGCAAGUCAACAGCAUCGGUAGCAACGGUAGAACUGGCAAUAGUAAUUCCAGUCACCCCAGCAGCGACGACUCUUUCAGAGCAUCAACCAUCACAGUCCACAGUUGCAGCAGCUUAAUCCUAAAACAUCAACGUCUUAAACUUCUCAAUCAACGGAUAACAUGACAAUAGCAGUGGGGGUUCAGAAACAAAAAUGACUUACGGUAAUUAAGGAAAACAAGGAAAAUGAAGCGUAGCAGUAGUAGCGCAAUGACUGCAACAACAACAGGGAAAAUGGUCUCCUUCCCCACCUCAGCUCAUGACUCCGGCGGCGGCGAUGGCGGAGAGAGCAGCGGCGGCAGAAACCCCCGCAACGCCUUCUCUCUCUCCUCGCGUUGUUCUGUCUCUCUCUCUCUUCGCAUCGGAUUCUGCUCAAGGCUCGAUAGCAGCUCGCAGCGCCGGUUCGACGGCAACGACUCCAUGGCGGUCCGACGGCGAUGGUGAUGACGAGGUGCAGCGAAGCUGGCGGCGCACGUCGCGAUGACGGUGGCGACGCUCCUCACUCGCGCGAGCUUCCCCUGCUCCGUGACACGCUCUCCUCGCUCCUCCUCCAUCGGCGAAGACAGCGGCGCGACGAGCAGCAGGGACUCGCCGGCACGCUCUCCCCCUUUCUUCUCCCUCCUGAUUCGCACCCUCUCCUCUCUUUCUUUCUUUCUGUGGAUUUUUGGCUGCUGCUAAGUGUGGCGUUGUGAGUUUGUUUUUUGGAAGAAAAGGAAAGGGGUAUGGCGGCUGAAGGGAGUGGGGUAAUUAGGAUUAAAGUUUUAGGAAGUGUUUAGCAA